GCCGGCGCCGUAGCGCGAGCGACGCUCACACACAGAGAGACGGCGGCGCUACGCUGUGUGCGCAAGGCGGCCGGCCUAAAGCGCGCGGAUCAGAACCAAGCAGCAGAUAAGAGAAGCAUUCACAUGAAUGGCCAUGCGAUGAAGAACUUAGUCCUUGCUGCUCCCCUUUAAUGUUAAAGUGAAGGAGGCUGUGGUCAAUAGUACAAAUCUGACCCAGGUAAGGAGUAGGCUUACAAUGACAGUAGUCACAGCAUGUAAUAUGGAGUUUACAUUGGCUCUGUGACUGUAUAGUAGCUUUAUUUUGGCUGUGGAAGGAUAAAAAUGAUUUAAUACGACAUAAUAUUAGAAUGGCAUAGAGUGAUACACCUAAUCUGCCAAACAGACUGCCAGUGCAAAAUUACCCAGUUAAACCUUUUUGAUAAAUUAGACCUAGAAAAGUAAGUUUGUUCUGGACCACUGGUUUGUAUCAUGUGACCUUUUUUGGCAUUUUUGCUACAUCUGGCUUUUUGAUUCAGUAUUCAAAGACCUACACAAGAAUUUAUCAUAUCACUGGACUAUGUUAAAUCAAAGCAACAAACCAGAAAUUAAACUUUCUGUGCUACUGUUUCCAUGAGAAAACGUCCUGCUAAAAUUUGAAUUCUGAAUCUGUAAGCAUAGGUAUUUGAACCAGGAUAUUGACUUGCAGAGAUAAAAACACCUGGUUUAAGAACAGAAAGAACAGAAACAUAUCACAACUAUGUCAAAACAAAACUAAUGAAUAGAGCCAGCACUUUGAAUAGUCCUUCUGAACUGUCCACACUAAGCCUAUAGAGCAAAGCUCCAAUGCUGAAUAAUUUUUAGAAAAUCGUGAACUUAGAGACAAACUUGGCGCAAGAAAGUACUUUCAGGCUGAAACUAUCACAGCCCAUUCCAGUUUUUGCCUCCUAAUCUUUGCAAAAUCAGGCAAGACUCAGUCAACUUGAUUUUGAUACCCAGUGGUCUCUCUUCUAGUUCUGUAUCUGUUAAUGAGUCCUCUCAGAGCACUACAUCUCUCCAACAUCCUCCAAGAUCCUCUUACCUAUAUCUUAGAUAUUGGGUGAUUUUCAAAAUAUUUGCAGGUUCACAAUAUCUCAUGUAGAGUUGCCUGCUGUUGGCCAAGGCAGGAAUUUCCCUCAGACAGGAUGACAGCCUGUUCUUGAUGUCAUGGAAGAUCUCUAGUACUUGGUUACUGUUAUCCUAGAUCACCUUCUGGAACUGGAGCAGAUCAAGAUACUUCUAAACAGUGGCAAGAGGCACCUAAAACUAAUCUUGAUUGAUUGACUUUAGCCUUUUCCAGACAGUUAAAUAUAUGCUGUUUUUCCAUCCCUCUGUGCUAAAAUUGCUGUGAGUUUUGAACAUUGUGAGAAUCAUUUCCACCAUGGGAUCUCAAUAUUCUUGCUACUCUCGUGGUCAUGCUUAGACCUGAGAUUUAGAUCUGAGGCAUUUUAUUCCUUGGCUCAUUUGUCUCUAAUGCAAAAAAUCUUAGUCUUACUGCAGGUACAGUGAUUAUGUCAUUCUUCACACUGCUGUCUCUGCAAUCAGAAGGGUGGAUGAGAUGCAUCUGAGGGUGCUGAGAGAUGACAGCAUAGCAAAGCUGCCUUGACUGCUUCGCUAAAGUCAAUAGCAGCUGUUUGAAGAUGCCCAGAAAAGAAGGGUACUCCAGCAGAGAAGGGGAGAGCAAGCCUAUGAAUGGACCCCUUUGAUCAAAAGUUCGCUGCAGCCAUUAAUGUAUUGGCUCUCUCCAUGUGUGCCAAAAUCUGUCUUAAAACAAUAGCAUAGCAGGCAUCACAAAAACGUGUUCUGUUCAGUCUGGCUCCUGAGCUGGUGAGAGCAGGGGGACCGGGCAAAGGUGUUUGACCAGACUUCCGGAUUGCGUUCCAGAGCACGAGGCAAACGGGAGAUUAAACUUUAAGCAAGGAGUUAUGAAUUGCCACCCUGCUUCUGGAUGGAAGUCAGAUGAGGACCUGGAAGGUACAGGGACAAGAACAGGGAGAGUCCCUGUGAGGUCUGCCGUAUCUGAGUGCUGUGAUUGCUGCUGUGCUAUUACAUGGUACAGACUGGCCAGCUGUGCGAACGGCCGUGGAGGUGGAUGAAUACCUGGAAGCUGAGCAGAAUCUCUGUGUUCUGGCUGCAGUUACCCAGUGUUGGACGAACAGGUUCCGAGGAUAUCCUUGUUACAUCUCUUGGGCCAAAAUUCUGUGUAGCACUGAAGAUUCUUCAGUGAUGACCUUGUUGCAUUGCCAUGAAGACUUCAUCAGAUUUGGAUGAAAACAAGGAAACGGCUUUUCUCUGAUUUCCAAAUGGAGAAGUAGGAGGAGAAGUAGACCUGCUGGACUACCCCACCCCUCUUACAUGAGCAUGUUGGAGCAAAGGAAAGGAGUUUCCGCCCACAAUAAAUCAGCAGUACACUGGCAUAUGCUACAGCAGGACAUUUCUCUUGCAGAGCAUGGGUGAAGUCAGAAGACAUAUUCUGAGUCACAGUUUGCCUUCUGGCUCAAAUUAUUGGCAAGCUUGGUAGUUUUGAAUUGGAAAUGAAGAAUAGAUUUCUUAUUUCCUAUUGAGGAUGCUGAGCUGACAUUUCUUACCAAUCACAUGUUCCUCUGGACCCGUUUCAGGAGCUCAAAGAGAUCUAGCUCAUCUUGUCUAGUGACAAGCAAAAUAAGAGAAUGAACCCUGGCACAUUUUUAUGUUACUUGCCAAAUAUUUGCAAUUGAAUUCUGGAUUUCUCUCCGUUGUUACAAAGAAGCUGUGGAGCAUUUGGUGCACAUGUGCUUCCUGACCUUUCGUACAAGACCAAUUUUGCUGUUGAUUAGUUUACUAUUUUUCAUUGCCAGAUUCUACCACAUUAAUUUGUCAAAGUAGUUUAAUUUGCCAGUACUUAGAAGCCCCCUUCCUCGUCUCUGUUUAAAAAGAAGAAAAAUAAAAAGAGUGAGUAGAUCUUUGUCAUUACCUGCAACGUUUUUAUCUUAAAUCACAGAAUGAGUCCCAGCUGGCCAGUCCAUUGGGCAUUCUGCCUACUGGCUGAGUAAAGAACUGAAGUGAGGCAUUGGGGAAUACUGAAAUUCCUGCUUCCACUGAAGACAGCGGGAAUGCUGCCACUUACUUAAUGUUGCUGGUUCAUUGUAAUAUAUCAAAUGAAAAAUCUAAAGUAAAAUUCAACUGUUGAAUUUUCUGUUACCUAAACUGUGCUUUCUAGUGAAAGAGAUACUAAUAAAAGAAAAGACGUAGCCUGACAAGAUGGCCUUGUACAAAUGCACACUGCAAUAAGUGAACAAAGGAAUCAAGGAGACAACAAUUAUCUGUGACUAUUAUAUAAUAUUAUUUUGGUGGCUGCACAGUAACAGUAGAUUUUCCUCUCAGAGGCAUAAUAUCAAUUUGCUCAUUCUGUCUGAGGUUUUGGUCUACCUUGAAAAGGAUAAUUAAACACUUCACAACUGUUUAAUAGUGAAAACAAAAACAAUAGCAGGGAUUUUAGGUGAGCAGCAUGGGAAUAGAAAACAUUACACUAUUCUGCCAAUACAGUAGAAAAUUUACUAUUAUGCCUUAAGAAAACCUUGUUGUUUCAGUAAUACCAAAUUCAUUUAUUGCUCUUAAUAAAUUUUCUUUCAUGAAGAUAAAAUGCCUUUUAAAGUGCACUUUUGAGACUAAUGAUCAUACCAGGGUUUCUAGUAGGCAGAGGAGACAGGGUGCAGCUCAAUCCAGUAGAAUUUCAAGUCUGGAGAGCUGAAAUGCAUUACAAGAAAGAGAAGAGAGUGGGCUAGAAAGCAGACAUUCAGCCAGUUUUAUUCCUGUGUCCCAUCUGAGUCUGCCCACUUCUGUACUGGCUCCGCUUCGUUUCCCUUCUCUCAUCUACUCUUUGAGUUGUCUACACCAUGGAAAAUGCCUUAUUUCACUGCUUUGUUAAUGCAAGCUAUUGGGACUGCUGCAAAAGGCCCAAAGGAAGGCUGCAAGCCAUAAUGUACUGCAGUUUAACUGCAUGCUAUUUUAUCAUCUGUAUUAAUUAGGACCUCUGGAUGAGGCCUCAAAGAGUUCUUAAUUAUUAUAGUCACGGUGACACUUUAUUUAGUGAAAUUUAUAUUCAGCACCUAUCUUCCACUUCUGUAAAAAUGUGCUGCAAAUAUUACUUUGUAUAUUAUAUAUUACUGUAGCAACUUCAUAGAAAAUAGAAAAUAAUUACCACUAUAAACAUAGCAAGAUGAAAUUUUAUCCAUCUACAAGUUAAGAAGAAACAAAAACAUUGGUUCUGCUCUUGGCAAAAAGUACUAAAGAGGGAAGGCAUUUCUGAAAUGAUUUUUCAAAACAAAAUAAGCUUUCCUGCUUCAAAUUGUCAGAUGUUUUUUCCAAUUGUAGCUAUGAUUUUUUUAAAAAGCCUAUUGAAUUAAAUCAGCCAUAUUUGUUUUACUAAUUUGUCAAUACUUAGAGUAAGGAGAAUUCUUUGGCAGAUGACUUGCCUAAUUUUGAUAUUAUUCAGGAUGUUUAUUUGAAUCUUUGAAAGCAUCAUCAGAUUUAUGUACGUUUUGAAAAUGCCAUAAACCAAAACAUUUAAUUUAGAAUGAUGAAGUCUACAAAUGCAAUCAUUCAUGAGAUCUGGUUUGGGGAAUUUAGAAAUUUAAUAGGAAUAACUGAUGUGAUUUUAAAUCUCUUUAAAACAAAUAGAUUUACUGUUAAAAUUCUUCAAGGACUGUUUCUUCAGAUGUGUUUGUACAGCUCCCUUCCAAACUGGACUGUAAAACAUUGUCAGAUUGAGAAAUACAUUGAUAAUUGCAAUUUC